rnacentral:snRNA from 1 species
UGCUUGUUAGGAUAGACAAA